rnacentral:lncRNA from 1 species
UGUUCCAAAUUUACACUCCAGAGGUAAAAGAACGAUAUAAUUUAGCUUUUACUCUUUUUUUAGAUUGAAUGAGAAAAAGUACUCGUUGCAAGUUAUACUGUUAGGCGCAACUGAGUAGUUCUAAUGUGGUUCCGAUUUUGGUUCUUGUCAACCCGUUGACAUUGAUUCUUUUCCAAAUUAUACACUCGGGGCAUAAUAGAACAAUUUAAUUAGCUUUUACUCUUUGUUCGACAGAAUGAGAAAAAGUACUCGUUGCAAAGUUACACUUGUAGGGCGCAACUGAGUAGUCUAAUGUUGUUCCGAUUUUGGUUCUUGUCAACGCUGAUAUCGAUUCAUUCCAAAUUUACACUCUCGAGGCAUAAUAGAACAAUUCAAUUAGCUUUUACUCUUUGUUCGAUAGAAUGAGAAAAAGUACUCGUUGCAAAGUUACACUGGUAGGGCGCAACUGAGAAGUCUAAUGUUGUUCCGGUUUUGGUUCUUGUGAAGGUUGACAACGAUUUGUUCCAAAUUAACACUCCAUAGGCAUAAUAGAACGAUUUAACUAGCUUUUACUCUUUUUUCGAUUGAAUGAGAAAAAGUACUCGUUGCAAAGUUAUACUGUUAGGGCGCAACUGAGUAGUCUAAUGUUGUUCCGGUUUUGGUUCUUGUCAACAUUGACAUCGAUUCGUUCUAAAUUAACACUCUCGGGGCAUAAUAGACCAAUAAUUAGGUUUUACUCUUUGUUCGAUUGAACGAGAAAAAGUAUUCGUUGCAAAGUUAUACUGUUAGGG